CGAGAUGUGUAGGUUGCUGCAUGGUUGUCGUCAGCUCGUGCCGUGAGGUGUCGGCUUAAGUGCCAUAACGAGCGCAACCCUCAUCAUUAGUUACCAUCAGGUAAGGCUGGGGACUCUAAUGAGACUGCCAUCGUAAGAUGUGAGGAAGGUGGGGAUGACGUCAAAUCAGCACGGCCCUUACGUCCGGGGCGACACACGUGUUACAAUGGGUGGUACAAAGGGCAGCUACCUGGCGACAGGAUGCUAAUCUCCAAAACCACUCUCAGUUCGGAUCGGAGUCUGCAACUCGACUCCGUGAAGCUGGAUUCGCUAGUAAUCGCGCAUCAGCCACGGCGCGGUGAAUACGUUCCCGGGCCUU
rnacentral:rRNA from 1 species